AUUGAACGCUGGCGGCAGGCCCAACACAUGCAAGUCGAGCGGCAGCGGAAAAGUAGCUUGCUACUUUUGCCGGCGAGCGGCGGACGGGUGAGUAAUGCCUGGGAAAUUGCCCAGUCGAGGGGGAUAACAGUUGGAAACGACUGCUAAUACAGCAUACGCUCUACGGGGGAAAGCAGGGGACCUUCGGGUCUUGCUGGAUUGGAUAUGACCAGGUGGGAUUCGCUAGUUGGUGGGGUAAUGGAUCACCAAGGCGACGAUGCCUAGCUGGUCUGAGAGGAUGAUCAGCCACCCUGGAACUGAGACACGGUCCAGAGUCCUACGGGAGGCAGCAGUGGGGAAUAUUGCACAAUGGGGGAAACCCUGAUGCAGCCAUGCCGCGUGUGUGAAGAAGGCCUUCGGGUUGUAAAGCACUUUCAGCGAGGAGGAAAGGUUGAUGCCUAAUACGUAUCAACUGUGACGUUACUCGCAGAAGAAGCACCGGCUAACUCCGUGCCAGCCGCCGCCGUAAUAC
rnacentral:rRNA from 1 species